UGCCGGGCAGAGCUGAGGCCGCAUGGCGCCAAAGUCUGCCGGCCCAGGGUCCUGGGGGCCUGGAGAACUCCACUGAGACUAGGGAGCGCCCCAGUUCAGGAGCAGGGUGGUGUAGAACCGGAAGCAGACUGAACAGGACCGAGUCUCUGCUGAAUGCGAAAGUUUACCCCAGCAGCAGGAACCACGCAGAGCGGGUGUGUUGACAUUCGGUGAUGUGGCUGUAGACUUCUCACAGAAGGACAGGGAAUGCCUGGAUCUUGCUCAGAGGACUUUGUACAGAGACUUGACGGUGGAGAAUUACAGCUCUCUCAUUUUUCUUGGUGAUGUGGAUUUUCAGUGAACUGGAAGGAAGUUUCUCAAAACGGAGAGAGGAAUGUUUAUGUAAGAUUCCUGGAAAGGAAACUCACAGAAGGAGGAGACAGAUGGCUUCUUUUCAGAGUAAUCCAGUAAAUGCAUGGCCAACCAUCUCAAAAUUGUUUCUGAUGAGGAAAGUGAAAACUGAAACACGCCAGUCUUCAAUUUAAGGAGGAUGGAUAUGCCACUGAUCCAUUGACAUUCAAGGAUGUGUCCUUUGACUUCUCCCAGAAGGAGUGGAAAUACCUAGACUCUGCUCCUCUGUACAAGGAGGUGAUGUUGGAGAACUGCAGCAAUCUGGUGUCUGUAGGUCUUGCUAGGUGUAAGCCUGUUCUGGUCUCCUGUCUGGAGCAAAGCAAAGAGCUCUGGAAUGUGAAGAGAGGGAAGACUGUAGCC